CCACCAGCAGGUCGUCGUCACUAUAUUCGAAUGGCGAGUGGAGUCGCUAAGCGGUAUAUACACACGGCGCCCCGACGGACGGCGUCGUUUCUAAACUAAAAUUCUACCGACGACUACGUCGAGCCACGACGACGAACCCGACGUCGACGGAGGGCGCAAGCGCUCGGGGGGUUUUGGCAAUCGAUCGAGAAACUCCCCCUCGCCGUGCCCCCGCUCUCCUCCCCACCCGCCGCAAAAGGAUCGUCGUUUCAUUGGAAACGGGGGAGGGAAAAUCAUUUCGACUUCCGGCCGAAAAUAGGGCGCUGAUUCCUGGGUAGUUUUUCGUGACGAUGGGUAUUCGGCCGCGGGGAAACUCAGAGAUUGUCUCGGGGUGAUGAGGAGUACUCGGACGCCGUGUACGGCCUCUUCUUCGACCA
rnacentral:lncRNA from 1 species